rnacentral:miRNA from 1 species
UGAUUGACAUUUCUGUAAUGG